GCCUGGGUGGCUCAGUCGGUUAAGCGUCUGACUUCGGCUCAGGUCAUGAUCUCACGGUUGUGAGUUCGAGCCCCGCGUCGGGCU
rfam:Felis catus isolate Cinnamon breed Abyssinian chromosome B2, whole genome shotgun sequence.